UUAGAUUAGGGUGUUACAGCAUGGUAUCAGAGCAGGUCUACUUUCCUGUAGACUCUGCAAAAUAUUUUACAUAAAAUUCUUAAAUGUCAUGUGUGAGAAAAUCCAUUCGACCUCUACGUGCUCCGACUUCAAGGUAAAUGUAUUUUAAAAGUAUUUCAAAAUAUUUUUAUAGGGAUGAGUAUAAAUUGUUUACGUUGAAAGUAUGUUGAAAUUUGCUGCAAUAAUUGAAGUUAUUAUCAGAAAGUUCAAGUUCAUUAUGCAAGUUAUUAUGAGAAAGUUCAG
rnacentral:lncRNA from 1 species